CAGCUCCGCCACUGUUGCGACACCCACCACCAAUCUGCAGAUUGCAGUCACUCUCAGCUGCCAGCUGCUCCCGGAGCUGGAGAAGGGGACAUGCUUUCUCCCAUGAUCCAGACUUCCAGCCUCCAGUGCCUCUCAUUGGCCAGAAACUUGCAUCAGGAGAAGCUGGGAAUAUAGUUCAUAGGCUUCCAGCUCUGGCAGUUACAAAUGGGAGUAUAGAGUGACAAGUUAGAAGCUACGUCGACAGAUAAUUAAACAGCACAGACUGCAAGACAGAGAAGCGCAAUCAAGAGGCAGUUAUUCUUUGUCCAUGAGAAAAUUAAAGGGUGGAUCUGAAGAAUUACUUUGGUUCUAUCUGAACAUAUUUUAUGAAAGCAGAAGAAAUAACGAGAGAAGCAAGAUAAAAACUCUCAGCAAACUAGAACGUCAUACUUCAUGGUGAAAACAGACUAUUCGAAACAAGAAGAAGAUAGCACCGCACACCUAGAAGAGUGGCACUGAUCCAGGGCGCUGACGUCACCAAGCACUGCAGAGGAUGCAGAGCAAGAGGGGCUCGCUCACUGCUGGUGGAAAUGCAAAAUGGUACAGCCAUUUUGGAAGCUUUCAGGUAGCAAGUCACUGUAUUGGAGAGGCCUACGUGGGAAGGAACUGAGGGAUGUCUCCAGCCAACACAGAAAGAACUGAGGCUGUCAGCCCAACAGUCCUCAAGGAACUCAAUCCUGCCAACAGCCACGAAGGAGACUUCUUUCUAUUGAGGAAUUUGGAGACGGAUUUGUGAUAGAAUCAACCGGUGGACAAAGCAUGAAAGCCUUAUGUUUAUAAGACGGUACAUCAAAUGAUCAACUCUGACAGUAUAAAAGUUAAGGUAUGGCUAAGAGAAACUGAUCUAUUAUCUGAAAACAAUAGAAGAAAUGAUAGAUAAGAGAUUGCAAGUUAGAGAGGCAAACAACAGAAAACUAAAAAUAACAAUAUAACUGUGAAAAUGUAGGGGAGGGUGUAGUGUAAGUCAGCUAAAGCCUUGUGUUUCAUGGCAAGGAGUCAAUAGACAGAGCCUGAGUUGGAUAUCAACAUAGAGAUGUGAGGGUGCCGUGUAGAAUGAGGGUGCUAGCCACCAGGAAAACAAAAUGCAGAAAUGCGGAAAGGUGGUGGCCUCUGCGACUAUGGGACUGUGGGUAGGACAAGGGAAUGGAGUGGAUGAUUUUUGCUUUAAUGCUAUGCCCUUCUCCACCAUGCAUACUCUGAGAAACAUGUUUUAAUGCUUUAAAUGAAUAAACUAAAAUGUUGAAUUGUGAA